UGUUCCCAUGGUGGAAGAUUG
rnacentral:snRNA from 1 species